GGGGAUUUAGUUCAGUGGUAGAGCGCUUGCCUUGCAAGCACAAGGCCCUGGGUUCGGUCCCCAGCACCG
rnacentral:tRNA from 1 species